rnacentral:rRNA from 1 species
GCAUGCAUGUGUAAGUAUAAAUAAUUUUACUUUGAAACUGCGAAGGGCUCAUUAUAUCAGUUAUAGUUUAUUAGAAAUAUUUUACUACUUGGAUAACCGUAGUAAUUCUAGGGCUAAUACAUGAGUAAAACCUCAACUUCGGAAGAGGUGUGUUUAUUAGUAUGAAAACCAUAUAUCUUCGGAUAUAAUAGUGAGUAAUAAUAACCUUUCAUAUCGUAUGUCGUAAGAUAACGAUAGUUCUUUCAAGUUUCUGCCCUAUCAGCUUUCGAUGGUAGUAUAUGGGACUACCAUGGCAGUAACGGGUAACGAAGAAUUUGGGUUCGAUUUCGGAGAGGGAGCCUGAGAGAUGGCUACCACAUCCAAGGAAGGCAGCAGGCGCGUAAAUUACCCAAUCCUGACAUAGGGAGGUAGUGACAAUAAAUCACAAUGCGGAACUUUUAAUUUUGCAAUUGGAUUGAAAACAAUGGACAAAUGGUAUCGAUAAACAAUUGGAGGGCAAGUCUGG